ACUAAAUAGAUACCCAGGUAGUCCACGCUGUAAACGAUGAUAACUAGCUGUCCGGGCUCAUGGAGUUUGGGUGGCGCAGCUAACGCAUUAAGUUAUCCGCCUGGGGAGUACGGUCGCAAGAUUAAAACUCAAAGGAAUUGACGGGGGCCUGCACAAGCGGUGGAGCAUGUGGUUUAAUUCGAAGCAACGCGCAGAACCUUACCAACGUUUGACAUCCCUAUCGCGGUUACCAGAGAUGGUUUCCUUCAGUUCGGCUGGAUAGGUGACAGGUGCUGCAUGGCUGUCGUCAGCCCGUGUCGUGAGAUGUUGGGUUAAGUCCCGCAACGAGCGCAACCCUCGCCUUUAGUUGCCAGCAUUUAGUUGGGUACUCUAAAGGAACCGCCGGUGAUAAGCCGGAGGAAGGUGGGGAUGACGUCAAGUCCUCAUGGCCCUUACGCGUUGGGCUACACACGUGCUACAAUGGCGACUACAGUGGGCAGCUAUCCCGCGAGGGUGAGCUAAUCUCCAAAAGUCGUCUCAGUUCGGAUUGUUCUCU
rnacentral:rRNA from 1 species